GAAUGGUCCUCACUAUCCAAGGCCGGUAGAGUAUGAGAUUCUUAAUCUCAGGGUUGUGGGUUUGAGCCCCACUUUGGGCCA